rnacentral:rRNA from 1 species
GGACGAAACGCGGGCGGCGUGCCUAAUACAUGCAAGUAGAACGCUGAAGGAGGAGCUUGCUUCUCUGGAUGAGUUGCGAACGGGUGAGUAACGCGUAGGUAACCUGCCUGGUAGCGGGGGGAUAACUAUUGGAAACGAUAGCUAAUACCGCAUAAGAGUAGAUGUUGCAUGACAUUUGCUUAAAAGGUGCAAAUGCAUCACUACCAGAUGGACCUGCGUUGUAUUAGCUAGUUGGUGGGGUAACGGCUCACCAAGGCGACGAUACAUAGCCGACCUGAGAGGGUGAUCGGCCACACUGGGACUGAGACACGGCCCAGACUCCUACGGGAGGCAGCAGUAGGGAAUCUUCGGCAAUGGACGGAAGUCUGACCGAGCAACGCCGCGUGAGUGAAGAAGGUUUUCGGAUCGUAAAGCUCUGUUGUAAGAGAAGAACGAGUGUGAGAGUGGAAAGUUCACACUGUGACGGUAUCUUACCAGAAAGGGACGGCUAACUACGUGCCAGCAGCCGCGGUAAUACGUAGGUCCCGAGCGUUGUCCGGAUUUAUUGGGCGUAAAGCGAGCGCAGGCGGUUAGAUAAGUCUGAAGUUAAAGGCUGUGGAUUAACCAUAGUAGGCUUUGGAAACUGUUUAACUUGAGUGCAAGAGGGGAGAGUGGAAUUCCAUGUGUAGCGGUGAAAUGCGUAGAUAUAUGGAGGAACACCGGUGGCGAAAGCGGCUCUCUGGCUUGUAACUGACGCUGAGGCUCGAAAGCGUGGGGAGCAAACAGG